rnacentral:rRNA from 1 species
AUGGAGGAAGCUCCUGUCACCGCAGCCACGGGGUCCUUGGGGCCCGUCGUAGCCAAGCUGGGUGCUUUGCUGGGCAGGGAGUACAAGCUUCGGCGCAGGACUCAGAAGGACGUCAGGUUCAUCAAAUCCAAGCUGAAAUCUAUGCACUCUAUUCUUUGGGCGACAUGGGAGAAGGAGGUUCUGGAUGUCGAAUCCAAGAACUUGAAGAAGGAAGCGCUGGAUCUCGCCAACGAUAUGCACGACGCUAUUGAUGACUUCAUCCUCAUCAUGGAUCCCAGCCGCAGAAACAAGCGAUUGAUGGUGCAGAGCAAGAUCGAAGCCAGCCGUCCUUUCCAAGAGUUCAAGACGAGAGUAGAUGACGUAUCGGGCCGCUGUCGCAGAAGGUGGAGGUGGGAGAAGAACAAGUCUUCUGAACCCAUCUCCAGCUUAUUUUCAAGAAGAGGCGUAAAAUCCAGCCCCCCCAGCAAACAACCACCUCCUCCUCGAGCUCCAUUUGUCUGCAAGGAUGCAUCAGAGCUCAUUGGUCUAGGCAAAUGGAGGGAUGAGCUCAUCAGGUACCUGGUAGGAGAACAACAAGAAGAGAGCACAAUGGUGCAGCCGCAGCUCAAAAUGGCAUCCAUUGUUGGGAUGGCCGGCAUGGGGAAAACAACCCUUGCCAACCUUGUCUAUAAGGAUAUUGGAAGUAAGUUUCAGUCACGGGCUUUUGUAUCCGUCACUCCAAGCCCUAACAUGAUUGAGGUUCUCACAAGUAUUCUCCAGCAAGUAGGAGCUGAACCACUUGCUGGCUCUGAAGCAAGGACAGUGGAAGAUAUCAUCCACGCCAUAUCAAAUUUCCUAGAUGACAAAAGAUGA